GCGCCCAUAGCACAAUGGAUAGUGCACUUCCCUGCGAAGGAAGGGAUACAAGUUCGAUUCCUGUUGGGCGCA
rnacentral:tRNA from 1 species